CCUAUGGGAUGCAGCAGUGGGGAAUAUUGGACAAUGGGCGAAAGCCUGAUCCAGCAAUGCCGCGUGGAUGAAGAAGGUUUUCGGAUUGUAAAGUCCUUUCGGCGGGGACGAUGAUGACGGUACCCGCAGAAGAAGCCCCGGCUAACUUCGUGCCAGCAGCCGCGGUAAUACGAAGGGGGCUAGCGUUGCUCGGAAUGACUGGGCGUAAAGGGCGCGUAGGCGGUUUGGACAGUUAGGCGUGAAAUUCCUGGGCUCAACCUGGGGACUGCGCUUAAUACAUCCAGACUUGAGUGUGGAAGAGGGUUGUGGAAUUCCCAGUGUAGAGGUGAAAUUCGUAGAUAUUGGGAAGAACACCGGUGGCGAAGGCGGCAACCUGGUCCAUUACUGACGCUGAGGCGCGAAAGCGUGGGGAGCAAACAGGAUUAGAUACCCAGGUAGUCC
rnacentral:rRNA from 1 species